AGGGACUGGGAUGGACUGGGAUUGAACUGGGAUGGACUGGGAUGGACUGGGGGGGAACUGGGAUGAACUGGGAGGGAACUGGUUUAUACUGGGAUGAACUGGGAGGGACUGGGAGGGACUGGGAGGGAACUGGGAGGGAACUGGGAUGGACUGGGAUGGACUGGGAUGGAACUGGUUUAUACUGGGAUGAACUGGGAUGGACUGGGAUGGACUGGGAGGGAACUGGGAGGGAACUGGGAUGGACUGGGAUGAACUGGGAUGGACUGGGAUGAAACUGGUUUAUACUGGGAGGGAACUGGGAUUGAACUGGGAUGAACUGGGAGGGAACUGGGAAGGAACUGGUUCAUACUGGGAUGACCCAGGACCAAACUGGGAUGAACUGGGAGGGAACUGGGAGGGAACUGGUUUAUACUGGGAUGGAACUGGGAUGAACUGGGGUGGAACUGGGAGGGGGUUACUGGUCCAUACUGGUCCGUACUGGUCCGUACUGGUCUCACCUCCAGGAAGGGCUGCAGGCCCCGCCCACUUCCCAGAAUUCCCAGCACCUGCUCCCGGAAGCUCUCCUCGGCCACAGCCACCAGGGGGCGCCCUUGCAGCGUCUGGGGGCGGGGCCUGGAUCAGGACACGCCCCUUUCUUCCAUAUAUGGGAAGGGUGUGCUUGGCCACGCCCCCUUCUUUCAUAUGUGGGUGGUUUGGGCUAGCCACGCCCCUUUUUCCAUAUAUGGGGAGAGUGGAAUUCACCACGCCCCUUCUGGGAGGAGUUAAAGGGAGUCCAGGGCUCCCAGUAUGGGCCCGGUUCAUCCCAGUUCAAUCCCAGUUCAUCCCAGUUCAAUCCCAGUUCAUCCCAGUUCAAUCCCAGUUCAAUCCCAGUUCAUCCCAGUCCCUCCCAGUUCAAUCCCAGCUCAAUCCCAGUUCAAUCCCAGUUCAUCCCAGUCCAUCCCAGUCCAUCCCAGUCCAUCCCAGUUCAUCCCAGUCCAUCCCAGUUCAAUCCCAGUCCAUCCCAGUCCAUCCCAGUCCAUCCCAGUUCAAUCCCAGUUCAAUCCCAGUCCAUCCCAGUUCAAUCCCAGUUCAAUCCCAGUUCAGUUCAUCCCAGUUCCAUCCCAGUUCAUCCCAGUCCAUCCCAGUUCAUCCCACUCCAUCCCAGUCCAUCCCAGUCCAUCCCAGUCCAUCCCAGUCCAUCCCAGUUCAUCCCAGUCCAUCCCAGUCCAUCCCAGUUCAUCCCAGUUCAUCCCAGUUCAUCCCAGUUCAAUCCCAGUUCAAUCCCAGUCCAUCCCAGUCCAUCCCAGUUCCAUCCCAGUCCAUCCCAGUCAAUCCCAGUUCAUCCCAGUUCAAUCCCAGUUCAAUCCCAGUUCAAUCCCAGUCCAUCCCAGUCCAUCCCAGUCCAUCCCAGUUCCCUCCCAGUUCAUCCCAGUUCAAUCCCAGUCCAUCCCAGUUCAAUCCCAGUUCAUCCCAGUCCAUCCCAGUUCAAUCCCAGUCCAUCCCAGUUCAAUCCCAGUUCAAUCCCAGUUCAGUUCAUCCCAGUCCAUCCCAGUCCAUCCCAGUUCA
rnacentral:lncRNA from 1 species